UGAGUACGAGAUGCUACGGCAUCGAAGCAGUCUAUGUCAUACUUCCAAGAAAAGCUUGCACUGUCAUAAACAAAGAAUGCCUGUACCAUAACCGACACAGGUGGGUAGGUAGAGUAUACUAAGGGGCGCGAGAUAACUCUCUCUAAGGAACUCGGCAAAAUGACUCCGUAACUUCGGGAGAAGGAGUGCCUUAUUUCUAAGGUUGCAAUAACAAGAUCCAAGCAACUGUUUACCAAAAACACAGGUCUCCGCUAAGUCGUAAGACGAUGUAUGGGGGCUGACGCCUGCCCAGUGCCAGAAGGUUAAAGAAGUUGGUUAGCAUUAGCGAAGCUGAUAACUGAAGCCCUGGUGAACGGCGGCCGUAACAAUAACGGUCCUAAGGUAGCGAAAUUCCUUGUCGGGUAAGUUCCGACCCGCACGAAAGGCGUAAUGAUUUGGAUACUGUCUCGGAGAGGGGCUCGGUGAAAUAGACUUGUCUGUGAAGAUGCGGACUACCUGCACCUGGACAGAAAGACCCUAUGAAGCUUUACUGUAACUUGAGAUUGAAAUUGGACUUUAUUUGCGCAGUAUAGGUGGGAGGCGUUGAGAAUAAUCUUGCGGGAUUGUUGGAGCCAUCAGUGAGAUACCACUCUUGUAAUGUUAGAUUUCUAACUUUGUAUCAUUAUCUGGUAAAAGAACAGUUUCAGGCGGGCAGUUUGACUGGGGCGGUCGCCUCCCAAAGGGUAACGGAGGCGCACAAAGGUUUCCUCUGAACGGGUAGAAAUCGUAUCUAGAGUGUAAAGGCAUAAGGAAGCUUGACUGUGAGACCUACAAGUCGAGCAGGGACGAAAGUCGGUCUUAGUGAUCUGACGGUGCUGAGUAGAAAGGCCGUCACUCAACGGAUAAAAGUUACUCUAAGGAUAACAGGCUGAUCUCCCCCAAGAGUUCACAUCGACGGGGAGGUUUGGCACCUCGAUGUCGGCUCAUCGCAUCCUGGGGCGGUAGUCCGUCCCAAGGGUUGGGCUGUUCGCCCAUGAAAGCGGUACGCGAGCUGGGUUCAGAACGUCGUGAGACAGUUCGGUCCAUAUCCGGUGUAGGCGUUAGAAUAUUGAGAGGAGCCUUCUCUAGUACGAGAGGACCGAGAAGGACAUACCUCUGGUGUACCAGUUAUCGUGCCAACGGUAAACGCUGGGUAGCUAUGUAUGGAGUGGAUAACCGCUGAAAGCAUCUAAGUGGGAAGCCCACCUCAAGGUAAGUAUUCUCU
rnacentral:rRNA from 1 species